UACGGAGGGUGCAAGCGUUAUCCGGAUUCACUGGGUUUAAAGGGUGCGUAGGCGGGCAUUUAAGUCAGUGGUGAAAUACCUGAGCUUAACUUGGGAACUGCCAUUGAUACUAUUUGUCUUGAAUGUCGUGGAGGUUAGCGGAAUAUGUCAUGUAGCGGUGAAAUGCUUAGAUAUGACAUAGAACACCGAUUGCGAAGGCAGCUUGCUACACGAUCAUUGACACUGAGGCACGAAAGCGUGGGGAUCAAACAGG
rnacentral:rRNA from 1 species